UACGUAGGGGGCAAGCGUUGUCCGGAUUUACUGGGCGUAAAGAGCGUGUAGGCGGCCAGGCAGGUCCGUUGUGAAAACUGGAGGCUUAACCUCCAGACGUCGACGGAAACCGCGUGGCUAGAGUCCGGAAGAGGAGAGUGGAAUUCCUGGUGUAGCGGUGAAAUGCGCAGAUAUCAGGAAGAACACCCGUGGCGAAGGCGGCUCUCUGGGACGGUACUGACGCUGAGACGCGAAAGCGUGGGGAGCGAACAGG
rnacentral:rRNA from 1 species